AUUGAACGCUGGCGGCAGGCCUAACACAUGCAAGUCGAGCGGAUGAAGAGAGCUUGCUCUCUGAUUUAGCGGCGGACGGGUGAGUAAUGCCUAGGAAUCUGCCUGGUAGUGGGGGAUAACGUUCCGAAAGGAACGCUAAUACCGCAUACGUCCUACGGGAGAAAGCAGGGGACCUUCGGGCCUUGCGCUAUCAGAUGAGCCUAGGUCGGAUUAGCUAGUUGGUGAGGUAAUGGCUCACCAAGGCGACGAUCCGUAACUGGUCUGAGAGGAUGAUCAGGCACACUGGAACUGAGACACGGUCCAGACUCCUACGGGAGGCAGCAGUGGGGAAUAUUGGACAAUGGGCGAAAGCCUGAUCCAGCCAUGCCGCGUGUGUGAAGAAGGUCUUCGGAUUGUAAAGCACUUUAAGUUGGGAGGAAGGGCAUUAACCUAAUACGUUAGUGUUUUGACGUUACCAACAGAAUAAGCACCGGCUAACUUCGUGCCAGCAGCCGCCGUAAGAC
rnacentral:rRNA from 1 species